GUGAACGCUGGCGGUAGGCCUAACACCUGCAAGUCGAACGGCAGCACAGUAAGAGCUUGCUCUUACGGGUGGCGAGUGGCGGUCGGGUGAGGAAUACAUCGGAAUCUACUUUUUCGUGGGGGAUAACGUAGGGAAACUUACGCUAAUACCGCAUACGACCUACGGGUGAAAGCAGGGGAUCUUCGGACCUUGCGCGAUUGAAUGAGCCGAUGUCGGAUUAGCUAGUUGGCGGGGUAAAGGCCCACCAAGGCGACGAUCCGUAGCUGGUCUGAGAGGAUGAUCAGCCACACUGGAACUGAGACACGGUCCAGACUCCUACGGGAGACAGCAGUGGGGAAUAUUGGACAAUGGGCGCAAGCCUGAUCCAGCCAUACCGCGUGGGUGAAGAAGGCCUUCGGGUUGUAAAGCCCUUUUGUUGGGAAAGAAAAGCAGCAGGUUAAUACCCCGCUGUUCUGACGGUACCCAAAGAAUAAGCACCGGCUAACUUCGUG
rnacentral:rRNA from 1 species